GAUGAACGCUGGCGGCGUGCCUAAUACAUGCAAGUCGAGCGAACAGACGAGGAGCUUGCUCCUCUGACGUAGCGGCGGACGGGGGGGGAACAACGGGAAAACCUACCUAUAAGGCUGGGGUAACUUCGGGAAACCGGGACUAAUAACGGAUAACAUGUUGAACCCCCAGGGUCAACAGUGGAAGACGGUCUUUCUGUCACUUUAAGAUUGAACCGCGCCGGAUUAGCUAGUUGGUAAGGUAACGGCUUACCAAGGCAACGAUGCGUAGCCGACCUGAGAGGGUGAUCGGCCACACUGGAACUGAGACACGGUCAAGACUCCUACGGGAGGCAGCAGUAGGGAAUCUUCCGCAAUGGGCGAAAGCCUGACGGAGCAACGCCGCGUGAGUGAAGAAGGUCUUCGGAUCGUAAAACUCUGUUAUUAGGGAAGAACAAAUGUGUAAGUAACUAUGCACGUCUUGACGGUACCUAAUCAGAAAGCCACGGCUAACUACGUG
rnacentral:rRNA from 1 species